UGGGGAAUUUUGGACAAUGGGCGCAAGCCUGAUCCAGCAAUGCCGCGUGCAGGCUGAAGGCCUUCGGGUUGUAAACUGCUUUUGUACGGAGCGAAAAGGUCUGCCCUAAUACGGUGGGCUCAUGACGGUACCGUAAGAAUAAGCACCGGCUAACUACGUGCCAGCAGCCGCGGUAAUACGUAGGGUGCGAGCGUUAAUCGGAAUUACUGGGCGUAAAGCGUGCGCAGGCGGUUAUAUAAGACAGAUGUGAAAUCCCGGAGCUUAACUGGGGAAGUGCAGUUGAGACUGUAUGGCUAGGGUACGGUAGAGGGGGGUGGAAUUCGGCGUGUAGCAGUGAAAUGCGUAGAUAUGCGGAAGAACACCGAUGGCGAAGGCAAUCCCCUGGACCUGUACUGACGCUCAUGCACGAAAGCGUGGGGAGCAAACA
rnacentral:rRNA from 1 species